GUGGGGAAUAUUGGACAAUGGGCGCAAGCCUGAUCCAGCCAUGCCGCGUGAGUGAUGAAGGCCCUAGGGUUGUAAAGCUCUUUCACCGGUGAAGAUAAUGACGGUAACCGGAGAAGAAGCCCCGGCUAACUUCGUGCCAGCAGCCGCGGUAAUACGAAGGGGGCUAGCGUUGUUCGGAAUUACUGGGCGUAAAGCGCACGUAGGCGGACAUUUAAGUCAGGGGUGAAAUCUCAUAGCUCAACUCUGGAACUGACUUUGAUACUGGGUGGCUUGAGUAUGGAAGAGGGAAGUGGAAUUCCGAGUGUAGAGGUGAAAUUCGUAGAUAUUCGGAGGAACACCAGUGGCGAAGGCGGCUUACUGGUCCAUUACUGACGCUGAGGUGCGAAAGCGUGGGGAGCAAACAGGAUUAGAAACCCCGGUAGUCC
rnacentral:rRNA from 1 species